AUGGUACUGCAUUUGCAAAACUUGCUUUCCAGCCCCUUUGCCAGAGGGGCUGAAAGGCUCCCUAAAGUCUUGAUCAAAGCAGGGAGGUUUUUGACAUGCCCAGCGAACAAGUUAUUUGUCCCCUACCUCUAGCUGUUUCUGAAAUGUUUGCAAUCUCUAAUGGUGGAGAAGAAAGAGUAGAGACACUCCAGGAGAUCAACGCAGGAAAGUAAUCACCAACUGUGAGUGAUCUGUUGCCGAGGGAACACUACACCGGAGUUACAUAAGCAGAGGUGGAAGUGUUAGGCUAAAUCGCCUUGGUUUGACCUUCGCAAAUCGGUCGACGACCUCCCCAUGGAGGGUGACAUGCCUGUAUGCCAAUUAAUAUUUUUUCCCCAACUCCAGAAAACCUGUUUUGAAGCUCCUCCAGCAUUCUGUCGAGAACUGGAAAGAAGAGCCUUGUGUAUGUUUGAAUUUUCAUGUUCUCGAAAAGAAUCCAAUGCACGCUUCCAGUUUGUGUAUCCUGAGGUGGUGAGGGUGUCCCUUUGAUCCCUUGAUUGCUUUGCCAUAUAGUCUACAACUAAAGCAGAAUGCUGCAUUGGCAGUGGUAGAAUAUUCAACCCAUUUAAAAGUAUCAAACCAACUUGGUUGAAAUGAUCUCUUUUGCUGGCCAAACAUGCCGGAUGGAAAACAGUGAUGUCUCACUUGCCUUGGCCCUGUAUCUGCAGUCCCUAAAUCAGUUACCCAGUUACCCAUUGACUCUUGUCUGUUCUGAUGUUCCUGUUCAUUGUUGUUCUUAUCUGUUGUAUCUCCUUCUUGUGUGUCCCUUUCUCCUGUUCUCCUUUCUUCAUCCUCUACUAUUUUUGGCUCAUCUGUGAUGACUGUGUAGGUAAACACAAACAAGUAUUUAAAAUCAGUUUCCAGCUCUGUCAAAUAAAUGAAUUUCAAGAUACACAAAUUUGUCUUCAUUAAAAUGUGUGUCACCACACUGUCACAAAAUAUAAUACUAACCAAUUGAAAAUAGUUAAAUUGACAUUGGAAACCUCUUGUACAGUAGAUAUCACUGUUAGUAGUUAUCUGCCAAUAGGAGAGAAUCAUUCCUAUACAAAUGCAGUUUGAGUAAUUCACUUAAUAUAUUUACUUAACACUUAAAUAUAGUCAUUUUCACGUAAUACUCGAAUAGUCAUCUUUCUGCAUUCAAAACUAAGGAAAGCUGUACAAUUUGACAUGAUAAUGAGGAAAAAAGGCCUCCGACAAUGCAGAUUUUUUGAUCAUAUCAAUUUUAAGAUGGGGGUUGAGGCUUAAUAUUUGGGAGCAUAGUGUCCCUUGUCCCCUUUCAGGAGCCCUACUGGAUUAGCUUUGAUCUGAAAUCUUUGUAUAUAAAAAGCUUGUUAGCUGGCUGUCCAUCUCAUAAUGUUCACAUAGAAACUAGCUAUCAAUAGGAAAUAUCAAUCAGAAUUAUAAUUUCAUGCAAA